ensembl:lncRNA
UAUAUAUAUAUAUAUAUAUAUAUAUAUAUAAACUAUACAUUUAUAAGUAAAAUUAAAUAAAUUAUAAUAUAUACAAAAUACACAGAUAAAAUUAUUAUUAGGCUAUUAUUUGAAACAUAUUAUUAUUAUUAUUUUAUACAAGAUAUAUUUGAGCUCUGCUGACCUGCACCUUCGACUGAUGAACUAGAAUAUUUCGGACCUUCUCCAUACUGUAUAACAUCAGUACAGAAUAUGAUAAUUAAGUUUUUCCCUCAUAAUUUGAAAUAUUAUAGUGUAAAACAAAACACUCAUACUGAAUUACAUACAGUAGCCUACUCAUCAAGAUGAAUAACUUAACUAUCCAGGAAACUGUCAGAGGGCAUGAAUGAGUGUUAACAGCAGAACACACACUCAUAUUGUCCAGACUCUGAACUCAAACCAUAACAAACACCAUCCAAACAGAUCCCCGGAAAAUGGAUUCUGAUGUUUCAAAAUAGAAGUCCACUUACGCUGCUGUAAGGCUCAUCUUAUGAAUAUUAACUAAAACCCUUUCCGCAAAUCAGGAAAGCAUACUGGUCUGACGUAAUGCUACAUAAUACAUAUUCAUGAGCUUCUUCUGACGUUUUAGAAUAAAAGUCUGUUUAUAUAACCUAGUUUUUAAUUAUUCAGGUAUAAAACUGAUUUUAAAAUUAUUACACUAUUUCAGAUCGUCUAGAGAGGGAAUUUACAAUAAAAUCCUUUGAAAAUACAAUUAGAUUUUUCAACCUAUUUGCAGGACUAAACUGUACUCUCGACAAUGAUUUGCUGAGAGUUUAUAUUAAUAUCUGCUGAUUUAAUUGUGUGUGUGCAUUGUAAGAAAAAAAAUUGCUAAUGUGACAGUAUCAGAUUGUGUAUUAAAUCAAGUUUAUUUGAAAUGUCAUUCAGUCAAAUACAAACACAAACACAGCCAUAUUACUACAUACUACUUGUUUUCAUUUUACUACACGUCAAGAGUUCACUGAGAACAGGCACAAUGUAAAUCUCACAUGCUGUCAUAAGACAAAGAUCUACAGACACAGAACGGACGACACAUGCUUCCACAAGAGGAUUUUACAUCACCAAAGUCGAGCCCUUGACUGAGGGUUCAACCUCUGACCUUUAGUCAUUAGGGUGUCCAUGAUUUUGGUCACAAGUGGUGGCACUUACAGAGUUGGCAGUCAUCAUAGCUUUCCUGAAGAAUCAGUACGGAUUAAACAAGAUGACAAAAAAGCCAAGCGAUGCUGUUUAGUUAUUCACUGGUGUUUAAAUUCACAUUACUCUGCUUUAGAGGAGUUUCACUGAACACGGGCCACAUUUAUCAAGGCUCUUAUUUAAAGGAUUUUUUUUUGUAAGCAUAUAUAUAUAUAUAAAAUAAUUUGGCUUGCUUACAGUGUAGUUGGUUUCAAGUGCUUUUAUUUUCAAAUUGCAAUUCAAAUGAACAAAUAUCAACGUGAUAAAUGUAGCACCCAUAUGUCCUCAUGUGGCUAAAACAAACAUGUUGACCGAUAUAAAGAGUCAUGCAAAAAGUGGUACAAAAUGCGAUAAACACGCUUACCCAUCUAACAUACAUCGAUAACACUGGAUUCAGGUCUAGAUUUCUGGGUAGACAUUUGGUUAGAAUUGCAUGCUAAGAAGCUUCAGUUUGUAAGAGCGAAAAUUCAUGAAGUACGAAUAACUAUUAAGUUGAGCAUUCGAAAUUACAGCAUUCCUACAGCCUGUGAGAGCAACAGCCAAGCAAAAAAUGAGAUUUUAUCCAUUUUAUUUAAAAAAAAAAAUUAUUUACAACUUCACAAAAGGUUUUUUUUUUUUUCCUGUGGUUGUGGUUGGUUACCUGUGAGUGGUUUGUAGGUGAAACAGUCCUCUUUUGCAGUUGGUGAAAAACUGUGCUAAAACUGUGCCCUUCUGCCUCUUAUUUUGUCAGUUUCCGGCAUGGAUCGUUUUCUGGGUCUGAACGCCAUCAACAUAAUGUUGGUUUGGUGUAGAGUGAGGGAUAGGAGUCAGCUCCUGAGGGUAAACAGUCAGUUGGAUAGUCAGUUUCAUUACAAAUUAGCCUUAGAACAUUAAUAGAUACCUUAAACAGAACAUAAUUCUCAGAUAUUGCGAGCAGUGCUGAAAUACGUACCUUUAUGGCACUAACUGAAAGGGCGUAGACCCCAAAAAGAGAAACAACCAAACCAAUGGCACAUGCUAGCAUCAGGAAACCGAUCAGUGUAACCAAGAUCCCAUUCACUAAGAACUGUAAUACAAACCACAAAUACAACAGUAUAUUCCAACAGCACUGUUC